AUCGCUUCUCGGCCUUUUGGCUAAGAUCAAGUGUAGUAAAAUUUUACAGAUUGUACACAGAACUUUCAUGACUCUUU
rnacentral:snRNA from 1 species